rnacentral:rRNA from 1 species
CACGUAGUUAGCCGGAGCUUCCUCCUCUGCUACCGUCAUCAUCUUCACAGAGGACAGAGGUUUACAAUCCGAAAACCGUCUUCCCUCACGCGGCGUUGCUGGUUCAGGGUUUCCCCCAUUGACCAAUAUCCCUUACUGCUGCCUCCCGUAGGAGCCUGGGCCGUGUCUCAGUCCCAAUGUGGCCGUCCAACCUCUCAGUCCGGCUACCGAUCGUCGGCUUGGUGGGCCGUUACCCCACAACUACCUAAUCGGACGCGAGCCCAUCUUUCAGCGGAUUGCUCCUUUGAUUAUCCUACCAUGCGAUAAGAUAAUGUCAUGCGGUAUUAGCGUUCGUUUCCAAACGUUUACUCCCCCUACUGAAACGGCAGGUUGCUCACGCGUUACUCACCCGUCCGCCACUAAGAUACUCCAAGAUUCAAUUACCGAAGUACUUCAUCAGCGAAUACUCUCCGUUCGACUUGACAUGUUAUUAGGCCACGCCCGCCAGCCGUUCGUACCUCGAGCCGAGGACGUCAAACUCUUCUACGG